AUUGUAGAGCUCAUCGAAAUCAACCAAUGAAAUCGGGCCUCCAAAUGAUCUUAAUACACGUCAAUCACUUUACACAACGGUAGAUGCCCCCAAGACUCGAAAGUGAAAGGAAGGAAAAGAAGCUAAUUUUCUCUUGAGAAUUGACGAUGAACAGUCAUAAAGAAUAUAAUCCUAGUUAAAAUUUGAAGCAAAGAUAAAACGGAUCGCUAUGAAAACAGCUGGAAGAGAACGAAAGAGGAGUAAGGAUAUUCAAAUGAAAGCAACAGACACAGCGUGUUUUUAUGGACUUACUUGUGCACACAUUCAAAAAAAUUUCGCCUUUUCUCUUAAAACUUUGCAAGAAAAACUUUGUCUUAACAGUUUUCUUAGGCAAUGACUACCUUCAAUUUUUGCUGCUAGUAAACGAGUACUAGCUUAAAGUUUAGGAUAGAAAUGAUUAGACAAUAAAUCAAAAUAAAACAAAUUGUUGUGAACGAUCUAUCUGAAAACAAUGUUCAAAAGCAUUUAAUGAAGUCUAUAUGACUUCUUUCAUUUGAAAUGUGUAAGGGAUUAAAACAAACAUUCCUUGAUGAAACAAAACUAAAUGUUUGUGCAUGUGCCAAUGAUUUUGAUUAAAUUUAUAAGUCAA